AAAUGCUCCAACAAACCAUGAAAACAUUUAGGGUUUGAUUCCAACACUACUAGGAUAAAAGGAAAACCCUAAUACACAUUUUUUAAGUUUUGAGAGUUACUCUUAUAAGAUUUGUGAGGUUUUAUACCUUCUAACUCUAUCAAGCACCUACCAAAGAUCAAGACAAUAUUGCAAGUACUGGUGGAUUAAAGUUGUAGCUCAUCCUUCAUCUAUCAAGUGUAUUGAAGAUUAAGGCAUGAACAUGUGCUUCAUGUGAGAACAGAUCCAAAUCAAAGAAAUCUGUGGAGUUCAAAGCUAGAUUGGGUAAUCUUAGUCAAGUUUACUACAAAUGCCUCUCUAACUCGAAAUCCUGAAUCCGUCCUUGGAGAAAACAAAACAAAACUUCAUCGAAACAGCCGAGUUUGGAGAAAUCAUAACUUGAAAAACGUGUAAGACGAUUUGGAAAGAGAAGAAUGCUGCAAGUUUUCACGUGGAUUAAUUCUAUGUGCGGUGCAUGUUGUCUAAAAUAUGUAGCGGUUUAAUUUUAUGUGUUGUGCAUAUUUUCUAAAUACAGCGGUACUAGUUUCACACAGCAGAGCAGAGUAGUGCAAGAAUUGUGCAAACUAGUUUCACACAGCAGAUCAGAGUAGUGCAAGAAUUGUGCAAGAAUUGUGCAGUACGUGGUGUCAAGUAGUGUUAACAAAGCAGCAAAAAUAAUUGGACAGCAGACCCACCAUUAGACCACAUGAUGUGCUGUGUUGGGUGGAAGAAAUUCCACCGUGUAUUUUAAAUAUAGUGGAAAACAAUGUAACUAUAUAUACAUAUUUUAAUGAAAACAGCAUUACAAAGUA